rnacentral:rRNA from 1 species
AGUGAACGCUGGCGGUAGGCCUAACACAUGCAAGUCGAACGGCAGCACAGGAGAGCUUGCUCUCUGGGUGGCGAGUGGCGGACGGGUGAGGAAUAUAUCGGAAUCUACUCUGUCGUGGGGGAUAACGUAGGGAAACUUACGCUAAUACCGCAUACGACCUACGGGUGAAAGCAGGGGACCUUCGGGCCUUGCGCGAUUGAAUGAGCCGAUGUCGGAUUAGCUAGUUGGCGGGGUAAAGGCCCACCAAGGCGACGAUCCGUAGCUGGUCUGAGAGGAUGAGCAGCCACACUGGAACUGAGACACGGUCCAGACUCCUACGGGAGGCAGCAGUGGGGAAUAUUGGACAAUGGGCGCAAGCCUGAUCCAGCCAUACCGCGUGGGUGAAGAAGGCCUUCGGGUUGUAAAGCCCUUUUGUUGGGAAAGAAAUCCAGCUGGCUAAUACCCGGUUGGGAUGACGGUACCCAAAGAAUAAGCACCGGCUAACUUCGUGCCAGCAGCCGCGGUAA